CAAUAGCGUAUAUUAAAGUUGUUGCAGUUAAAAAGCUCGUAGUUGGAUUUCUGGUGGGAGCGAUCGGUCUGGCGCUUAGCGCGAGUACUUGCAUCGUCUCCGGCCAUCCUUGGGGAAAGUCUGUCUGGCAUUAGGUUGUCGGGCAGAGGAUCCUCAUCGUUUACUGUGAAAAAAUUAGAGUGUUCAAAGCAGGCUUAUGCCGUUGAAUAUAUUAGCAUGGAAUAAUAAGAUAGGACUUUGGUACUAUUUUGUUGGUUUGCGCACCAAAGUAAUGAUUAAUAGGGACAGUUGGGGGUAUUCGUAUUCCGUUGUCAGAGGUGAAAUUCUUGGAUUUACGGAAGACGAACUACUGCGAAAGCAUUUACCAAGGAUGUUUUCAUUAA
rnacentral:rRNA from 1 species